AUUGAACGCUGGCGGCAUGCCUUACACAUGCAAGUCGAACGGUAACGGGCCUUCGGGUGCCGACGAGUGGCGAACGGGUGAGUAAUGUAUCGGAACGUACCUUUCAGUGGGGGAUAACGUAGCGAAAGUUACGCUAAUACCGCAUAUUCUGUGAGCAGGAAAGCAGGGGAUCGCAAGACCUUGCGCUGAUUGAGCGGCCGAUAUCAGAUUAGCUAGUUGGUGAGGUAAAGGCUCACCAAGGCGACGAUCUGUAGCGGGUCUGAGAGGAUGAUCCGCCACACUGGAACUGAGACACGGUCCAGACUCCUACGGGAGGCAGCAGUGGGGAAUUUUGGACAAUGGGGGCAACCCUGAUCCAGCCAUGCCGCGUGAGUGAAGAAGGCCUUGGUGUAAAGCUCUUUCGGCCGGAGAAACGUAUGGGUUAAUAACCCUGUGCGGAUGACGGUACGGGCCAUAAGAAGACACCGGCUAACUAACGUGCCAGCAGCA
rnacentral:rRNA from 1 species